rnacentral:misc_RNA from 1 species
GUAGCAGCAGCCUGGACUGCAUCAUGUAAUGAAGCAGCCUUCUCAGAUGAUGUAAUGGUGGCAGCUGGUGCAGAGAUUAUUACUUUUCUAUUAUUAGAAGUAUCCGAUGGCUUGGCAUGCUCUGAUUGUUUAUCAGAUGUCUUAUUGUCAUUCUGAUCUGUGCAAGGGAUAUACUGCUGAGUUUGGUGGUCAUAUGAAAACCAGAUCCCACUGUUACCAUCGUAGUAAAGACCUGCAUAUAAGAGGAACAUGCAAGAUGCAACAGAUUAAGAAACUAAGAGGAAAGCUACCAAGAACUUAGGAACAAAUCUCAUAUAUUACCUUGGAACUCCUGAAGAAAACAAAAUACUUGUAUAUUAGGUCAACUAUGAAAAAAAAACUAGCAAUUAUAAUUUCAGUUAAUAUAAAUAUGCCACCAAAAGCAAAAGAAUAUAGCUGUCAAGCUUUGCACACCAAAAUAUCCCCAACACAACAUCCCCAAAGGCCCAAACUCUAGACCAGUUUGCAACUUCCACACAGUUUAUUCUAACAAAAUCCUCAUGUUAAAAUAUCCACGUAAUGCAAGUUUGCCCAGUGCAAGACAAAAGACCAAAGGUGCACUUUGACAUACAAUGUGCCUUACUGUAUAGCACACUAGAGAUAUAUAGGCUUAUAUGAAUAUAUAAAAUAAAAAUAAAUAUAAAACACAACAAAUAUGGACAACAUUGCCAUCACAACAUGUUUCCAUGGAUAUGAUUUUCCAGUUCCAUGCAGAAGUUAUCCUCCCUUCUCCGUCACAUAUGUAUAACCAUUUCAUAUAAGAUUAUAUCAUAGUAGCAAAAACGAAACAUUUUUCUAACCUUUUUUUUAAUUAGGAGUGUUUUUGUGAGAGUAACAGAAUGUUACCAGCUGGAGUUAGUGCCUAGAAAAGAAAAAUUGCUAAAAAGUACAAUUUAAAAGGAGCCAAACAAGUAGAUUUGACUGUUUCCAUUACAGCAAAAGGACAGUAGGAAGGUUGUUAUUCAGAAAAUGAGCCAGAAUCCAACUUGAAACUGUAUGUAUUCAUUCUUUGGUCCGAAAUGCUCACUAAAUGAUUGAUUCUCAUUUCCUAUAUCAGAAAAUAGAGAAGGGACCUGUAUUUCCAUCAUAGUAGAAC